GGGUCAGUAGGUUGGUCGUGCCACCGGUACGUACUGGUCUCACUGUUUCCUCCUUCCUGAAGAACCGUAAUGCCAUUAAUUUGGUGUUGCGGGGAAACAGGACUGUUACUUUGAAAAAAUUAGAGUGUUUAAAGCAAGCUAACGCUUGAAUACAUUAGCAUGGAAUAAUGAAAUAGGACGAUCGAUCCUAUUUUGCUGGUUUCUAGGAUUGACGUA
rnacentral:rRNA from 1 species